rnacentral:rRNA from 1 species
AGCCACUGCUAUUGGAAUCCGACUAAGACAUGCAAGUCAGAGAGCAAUCUCGGCGAACGGCUCAGUAACACGUAGUCAACCUGCCUUGAGGUAAGGGAUAAUCUCGGGAAACUGAGGCUAAUACCUUAUAGGAAAUGGGAUCUGGAACGCCCCAUUUCUGAAAGCUUCGGCGCCUCAAGAUGGGACUGCGGCUGAUUAGGCUGUUGGUGGUGUAACGGACCACCAAGCCUAUGAUCAGUACGGGCCAUGAGAGUGGUAGCCCGGAGAAGGGGACUGAGACAAGGCCCCUAGCCCUACGGGGUGCAGCAGUUACGAAACCUUUACAAUGCGCGAAAGCGUGAUAAGGGGAUUCCAAGUGCCAUAACUCCGUUAUGGCUGUGGCGAAGUGUAAAAAGCUUCGCAAGAAAGGGGUGGGCAAUACCGGUGCCAGCAGCCGCGGUAAUCCCGGAGCCCCAAGUGGUGGCCAUGUUUAUUGGGCCUAAAGCGUCCGUAGCAGGGUCAGUAAGUUCUCGGUGAAAUCGUUCAGCUUAACUGAACGAAUUGCCUUGAAUACUGCUGGCCUAGGGAUCGGGAGAGGUCAGGGGUAUGCCUUGGGGAGGGGUAAAAUCCUUUAAUCCAAGGUAGACCGCCGAUGGCGAAGGCACCUGACUGGAACGAGUCCGACUGUGAGGGACGAAAGCUAGGGUAGCAAACGGGAUUAGAUACCCCGGUAGUCCUAGCCGUAAACGCUGCCCGCUGGGCGUUGCACAUUCUUCGAGUUUGUGCAGUGCCGUAGUGAAGACGUUAAGCGGGCCGCCUGGGGAGUACGGUCGCAAGGCUGAAACUUAAAGGAAUUGGCGGGGGAGCACAACAAGGGGGGGAGCCUGCGGUUC